GACGAACGCUGGCGGCGUGCUUAACACAUGCAAGUCGAACGGUGAAGCGCCUUCCUUUUUGGUGGGUGUGGAUGAGUGGCGAACGGGUGAGUAACACGUGAGUAACCUGCCCCCUUCUUCUGGAUAACCGCAUGAAAGUGUGGCUAAUACGGGAUAUUCUGGGUCUGUCGCAUGAUGGGUCUGGGUAAGAUAUUGUUUCGGUGGGGGAUGGGCUCGCGGCCUAUCAGCUUGUUGGUGGGGUGAUGGCCUACCAAGGCGGUGACGGGUAGCCGGCCUGAGAGGGUUGACGAUCACGCUGGGGAUGAGACACAGCCACGACUCCUAUGGGACGCAGCAGUGAGGAAUAUUGGACGAUGGGGGCAAGCCUGAUGCAGCGACGCCGCGUGAGGGAUGGAGGCCUUCGGGUUGUGAGCCUCUUUCGCCAGUGAAGCAGGCCUGCCUCGUUUGUGAGUGGGUUGACGGUAGCUGGAUAAGAAGCGCCGGCUAACUACGUG
rnacentral:rRNA from 1 species